ensembl:lncRNA novel transcript
GGCCACUGCACUUAUGCACUUGUUUUACUUGUGUCUCCUUAGCCCUGUCAUUCUCCAAUCCAAACAUCUCAAGUUUCCUCAUUGGUUUCCACAAAAAUGCCAUUCACAAUCUGGGCAAAGUAUCAUUUCUCCCAUGCAUAGCACAACAAACUUACAAAUUCAUAUAAGAUCUUCCUAUUAGCUCUGGUCUUGUUGCCACCCCACCUCCCAACACUUCUCUCAACAUUUCUCAUUCUCUUUAGCCAAGAAGAAUCUGGUGUCUCAUCUGUCCCUGCUUCUCCCUUCUCUCUAUCUGUUCUCCAUUCUUAUCCCCUUCCAUGCGUCCAAAUUCUUCCACCUUACAUAUAAAAAGCAAUUCACUUGCCAUGAUUCCUUUCCCCAAGCCCCAAACUUUCUACCACGUGCCCAGCAGACAAAAGAACUAUUUAAUGUAAUUCAUCAUCUUUAGAAGAAAAUUGUGAUUAUAAAUGGCAUACUUUUUCCAAUGUAUGUAAUAUUUCUGGAAAUUGAAUAAAAGUAUCUCAAAACCCCC